UGAGUUUGAUCCUGGCUCAGGACGAACGCUGGCGGCGUGCCUAACACAUGCAAGUCGAACGGGGUGCAGCAUCUGGCUUGCCAGAAGCUGUUACCUAGUGGCGAACGGGUGAGUAACACGUGGGUAACCUGCCCAAGAGACCGGGAUAACAGUUCGAAAGGGCUGCUAAUACCGGAUACCCUGUUUAAGAGGCAUUUCUUAGAUAGGAAAUGAUUUAUCGCUCUUGGAUGGGCCCGCGUCCCAUUAGCUAGUUGGUGAGGUAACGGCUCACCAAGGCUUCGAUGGGUAGCCGGCCUGAGAGGGUGUACGGCCACACUGGGACUGAGACACGGCCCAGNCUCCUACGGGAGGCAGCAGUGGGGAAUAUUGCGCAAUGGGGGCAACCCUGACGCAGCGACGCCGCGUGAGCGAU
rnacentral:rRNA from 1 species